AUGGCCAAGCCCUGGGGCGGCGUCGGCGCCUGGGCGCUCGACGCUGAGCGCGAGGACGAGGAGCGCGAGCACGCCGCCGCCUUCCCCGCGCCCGACCCGCCCGCCGCCGCGGGCGGCGCCGCCAGCUUCCCCAGCCUCAAGGAGGCCGUCGUCGCCGGCGGCGGCAAGCAGAAGAAGAAGAAGGGCACCACCCUCUCGCUCUCCGAGUUCACCACCUACGGCGCGGCCGGCGCGCCUCGCCGCGUCGCCCCCGCCGAGCCCAAGGGCCUCACCCCGCAGGAGAUGAUGAUGCUCCCCACCGGCCCGAGGGAGCGGUCGGAGGACGAGCUGGACCGAUCCCGCGGGUUCCGCUCCUAUGGCGGCGACAGGGAGCCGCGCGGUGGCGGAUUCGACGACGACCGCCGCUCCAGCAGGGAUUCGGAUCUCGAUAUGCACUCGCGUGCCGACGAGUCGGACAACUGGGGUAAGAAUAAGAGUUUCUCGCCGGCUCCUACCGACUCUGGCCUGCGUGAUAGGCUCAGUGGCCCGUCUCCGCUCGGCCGCUCUGAUGACAUCGACAACUGGUCGCGCGACAAGAAGCCACUCCCGUCGCGCUACCCCAGCCUUGGAACCGGUGGCGGUUUCCGUGAAUCAUCUGGCGGUGGUUUCCGUGAAUCAUCUGGUGGUGGUUUCCGCGAACCAUCUGGUGGUGGUUUCCGUGAAUCAUCUGGUGGCGGUUUCCGUGACUCACCGGGGCCAUCUGACUCUGAUCGCUGGGUCCGUGGUGCUGUCCCUGCCCCUAUGACCAACAAUGGUGAUAGGCCGCGCCUCAACCUCAAUCCACCAAAGCGUGAUCCCUCAGCCACCCCUGUGCCAGCUGCUGAGGUCGCACGCAGCAGACCAAGCCCCUUCGGGGCUGCUAAGCCCCGUGAGGAGGUGCUGGCUGAGAAGGGCCUUGAUUGGAGGAAGAUGGAGGGGGAGAUUGAGAAGAAAACCAGUCGGCCUACUAGCUCGCACUCCAGUAGGCCGAACAGCGCACAUUCCUCCCGCCCUGGAAGCCCUGGAUCACAGGUCUCCGCAGUUGGGAGUGAGGGAGCACCAAGAGCACGGCCAAAGGUAAAUCCAUUCGGUGAUGCCAAGCCACGGGAAGUGGUGCUGCAGGAGAAAGGAAAAGACUGGAGGAAAAUUGACCUUGAGCUGGAGCAUCGGGCAGUUAAUAGGCCGGAGUCAGAAGAAGAGAAGAAUUUGAAAGAAGAAAUCAACCUUCUCAAGGUGGACUUGAAGGAAAUUGAGGCCAUUGCAGGUGAUGGUUCUGAGCAAGCAAAAGAAGUGUCUGAGAAGAUAUCUCAGAUGGAAAAGCAGCUUGAUCUGCUUACAGUUGAGUUGGAUGACAAAAUUCGAUUUGGGCAAAGACCUAGUUCUGGAGCUGGAAGGGCUGCAGCAUUUCCAUCCGCUAGUGAGGAACCACAUGUUGCAGUGGCCCACAUGGACAGACCGCGUUCCCGUGGUGGUGUGGAAACAUAUCCGAAACCAGUUGAAGAAAGGUGGGGAUUUCAUGGUAGCAGGGAAAGAGGCUCUUUUGGUGGAGGCGGAAGUUCAGACAGGUCAUCAACAAGGCAGGGAUGGUGA
rnacentral:rRNA from 1 species